rnacentral:rRNA from 1 species
GUAGGGAAUAUUGGACAAUGGGGGGAACCCUGAUCCAGCCAUGCCGCGUGGAGGAAGACUGCCCUCUGGGUUGUAAACUCCUUUUAUAUGGGAAGAACCGUCCUCAUUAAUGAGUGACCUGACGGUACCAUAGGAAUAAGCACCGGCUAACUCCGUGCCAGCAGCCGCGGUAAUACGGAGGGUGCAAGCGUUAUCCGGAUUCACUGGGUUUAAAGGGUGCGUAGGCGGAUAAAUAAGUCAGUGGUGAAAUCAACGGGCUCAACCUGUUAACUGCCAUUGAUACUGUGUAUCUUGAAUAUGAGAGAGGUAGGCGGAAUGUUGCAUGUAGCGGUGAAAUGCUUAGAUAUGCUACGGAACACCGAUUGCGAAGGCAGCUUACUAUUUCGUAAUUGACGCUGAGGCACGAAAGCGUGGGUAGCGAACAGGAUUAGAAACCCUGGUAGUCC